rnacentral:tRNA from 1 species
UCUAGUGUAGCACAACGGUAGUGCAGCAGACUGUUAAUCUGUUGGUUGUUGGUUCGAAUCCAGCCUCUAGAGCCU